rnacentral:rRNA from 1 species
AGCGAACGCUGGCGGCAGGCCUAACACAUGCAAGUCGAACGAGGUCUUCGGACCUAGUGGCGGACGGGUGAGUAACACGUGGGAACGUGCCCUUUGGUACGGAAUAACUCAGGGAAACUUGAGCUAAUACCGUAUGUGCCCUUCGGGGGAAAGAUUUAUCGCCAUUGGAGCGGCCCGCGUCUGAUUAGCUAGUUGGUGGGGUAAAGGCUCACCAAGGCUACGAUCAGUAGCUGGUCUGAGAGGAUGAUCAGCCACAUUGGGACUGAGACACGGCCCAAACUCCUACGGGAGGCAGCAGUGGGGAAUCUUGCGCAAUGGGCGAAAGCCUGACGCAGCCAUGCCGCGUGAAUGAUGAAGGUCUUAGGAUUGUAAAAUUCUUUCACCGGGGACGAUAAUGACGGUACCCGGAGAAGAAGCCCCAGCUAACUUCGUGCCAGCCGCCGCGGUAAUAC